rnacentral:lncRNA from 1 species
UUAUGAAAAGAUUGCUAAAUUCGAUCUAUUCGUAUUUAAUAGGCUUUACAUAGAUUAGAUUAUACCAAAAAACUUGUCUUUAUAGUAAUGCUUGCACAUAAGUAACAAGUGCGCUUAAAAAAAUCUAGAAAUAUGUUGUAUAGCAAGCUGAAAUGGAGAACUUUUUGAGAAGUUCUAUGAAUAUCAACUGAAUAUUGAACCUAGACCUCAUGGUUGUGAGUGCUGCUUCCUGCCUGAUCACCUCACCAGUUAGGCCAACAUAUAAUACAACACUGCAAAAAUCAGGUGAAGUCAAAAGGGACAGCUUGCAAAUUUCUAUCAUAAAGCUUAACAAUGGAACCUGGAUGGACAAGAACGACGGUCUACCAGCGACGCUCUGAGCGCAUGUUAUCUUGAUGAAAUUGACAGGUCGCGAUAAAGCCAUCCUGCUCACGUGCUGUUGCCGUUUGCGUUCUGAGGGUCGGAAUAAAAACUUAUCUCGAAAUGAAUUAUUUAUCGAGAUAAACUUGCACUGCCGUCCUCAUUGUUUUAACGAGGACCGGAGCCACGCAUGGGGGCAUCAUCAAGCAGAUAUCGCCACUUAUUUUCAUAGAAAGUUGUUAGGUCUCAGUCCAUAACGUGAUCCCACAAUGGAUGCGAACUGUAAUGCACAUGAAACGAGGGAAUAAACAACAACAACGACUGCGUGCAGUCUAUACAUCUUCUAUUCGUUGAAACGGAAGAAACUAGUUACCCUAAUUAGUAGUCCCCUUCUGCGGCAACAAGUCAGCAGCCCGUCUUCCUUUGCUUCUUCCUCGUCGUUUUAUAGGGCAGAAUCGGUGAAGAAGGAGACGUCAGUACCAGACCAGAACGCACGUAUGUGUACUCCAUUCUUAACUUGUUAACAUUUUGAGAAAUCCCAGUCAUUUACAACCUCAUUGAUGACGCUUAGCACGAUUCGUAAACGCUUGCGAUAGCUCGUCAAGCCGGUUUUUUCACAGAACCUAUAAGGGCAUACCUGUUAUCGUCUGGUGGAAAGCACAGCACCUAGUUUAGUUCUUCAUUCUGUGAAUCUGCGUCACUAGUAUAUAUUUCCUCGUUUACACGUUUAUUGUUUCAAUAUUUGAGUAAGCUUGCAGCGAGCGAUAGUCUGUAAGCUGUUAUGACGAGAAUGCAUAAAAAAAUGGCAGUGUGUAAAUAAAUCAACUAGAUAAAUAAACUAGUAAAUAA